UCGGGAAUUUUGGGCAAUGGGCGAAAGCCUGAUCCAGCCAUGCCGCGUGUGUGAAGAAGGUCUUCGGAUUGUAAAGCACUUUAAGUUGGGAGGAAGGGCAGUUACCUAAUACGUAUCUGUUUUGACGUUACCGACAGAAUAAGCACCGGCUAACUCUGUGCCAGCAGCCGCGGUAAUACAGAGGGUGCAAGCGUUAAUCGGAAUUACUGGGCGUAAAGCGCGCGUAGGUGGUUUGUUAAGUUGGAUGUGAAAUCCCCGGGCUCAACCUGGGAACUGCAUUCAAAACUGACAAGCUAGAGUAUGGUAGAGGGUGGUGGAAUUUCCUGUGUAGCGGUGAAAUGCGUAGAUAUAGGAAGGAACACCAGUGGCGAAGGCGACCACCUGGACUGAUACUGACACUGAGGUGCGAAAGCGUGGGGAGCAAACAGGAUUAGAUACCCUUGUAGUCCCUGAGCGGGCUGGCAAGGCGCAU
rnacentral:rRNA from 1 species